rnacentral:lncRNA from 1 species
CUGAACAUCUGGUUUCUUGAAUUUAAAUAAGAACAAACAUAAUAUAUUUACUGUUUUAUUCAUCCCAUCUCCAGUUCACUCACAUUUUCUUUAUCCAAUCCACUUUUGAUGGGUACCUAGGUUGAUUCCAGGUCUUUGAUAUUGUGAAUAGUGCUGCGAUGAACAUACAAGUGCUUGUGUCUUUGGCAGAAUGGUUUCUUUUCCUUUGGGUAUAUACCCAGUAAUGGGAUUGCUAGGUUGAAUGCUAGCUCUGUUUUAGGUUCUUUGAGAAAUCUUCAAACUGUUUUCCACAGUAGCUGAACUAAUUUACCUUCCCACCAACAGUGUAUAAGUGUUCCCUUUUCUCCAUGGCCUCACUAGCAUCAGUUUUUUGACUUGUUAAUAACAGCCAUUCUGGCUGGUGUGAGAUGGUAUAUCAUUGCAGUUUUAAUAUUUGCUCCCAUUCUG